rnacentral:rRNA from 1 species
UACGUAUGGAGCAAGCGUUAUCCGGAUUUACUGGGUGUAAAGGGAGAGUAGGUGGCAGAGCAAGUCCGAAGUGAAAACCCAAAGCUCAACUAUGGGAAUGCUUUAGAAACUGCUCAGCUAGAGUGCAGGAGAGGCAAGUGGAAUUCUUAGUGUAGCGGUGAAAUGCGUAGAUAUCAGGAGGAACACCGGCGGCGAAGGCGGCUUACUGGACUGUAACUGACGUUGAGGCUCGAAAGUGUGGGUAUCAAACAGG